rnacentral:misc_RNA from 1 species
UCAUUGCAACCUUCAAGCACCGCUUGGUACUGGGUGUCGCCCGCAGGGGCGUGCCCGAAAGACAGUGGCGGCCCGGCCGGGGCCCCGAGCGCAGUAGAUAACUUUUCGCUCCGGGCGCUCUCGCCGCGGCCAGCCAGCCAACAGCCCCCCGAUUUUCAAUGGUUGACCUCGGAUCAGGUAGGGAUACCCGCUGAACUUAA